GAUGAACGCUGACAGAAUGCUUAACACAUCAGCAAGUGAUUGGUGGCGGACGGGUGAGUAACGCGUAAAGAACUUGCCUCACAGGUAGGGACAACAUUUGGAAACGAAUGCUAAUACCUAAUACUGUGAGAGAGCUUUGCGUCCCAUUAGCUAGUUGGAGAGGUAACGGCUCACCAAGGCGAUGAUGGGUAGCCGGCCUGAGAGGGUGAUCCGCCACAAAGUGUCUGAGACACGAGCCGUAAGCUAACGGGAGGCAGCAGUGGAGACUAUAGGACAAUGGACCAAAGUCUGAUCAAGCUAUUCUGUGUGCACGAUGAUGUUUUCGGAAGAUAAAGUGCUUUCAGUUGGGAGGCGGUACCAACAGAAGAAGUGACGGCUAAAUACGUGCCAGCAGCCGCGGUAAUAC
rnacentral:rRNA from 1 species